rnacentral:rRNA from 1 species
CCUACGGGAGGCUGCAGUGGGGAAUAUUGCACAAUGGGCGCAAGCCUGAUGCAGCCAUGCCGCGUGUGUGAAGAAGGCCUUCGGGUUGUAAAGCACUUUCAGCGGGGAGGAAGGCGGUGAGGUUAAUAACCUCAUCGAUUGACGUUACCCGCAGAAGAAGCACCGGCUAACUCCGUGCCAGCAGCCGCGGUAAUACGGAGGGUGCAAGCGUUAAUCGGAAUUACUAGGCGUAAAGCGCACGCAGGCGGUCUGUCAAGUCGGAUGUGAAAUCCCCGGGCUCAACCUGGGAACUGCAUUCGAAACUGGCAGGCUAGAGUCUUGUAGAGGGGGGUAGAAUUCCAGGUGUAGCGGUGAAAUGCGUAGAGAUCUGGAGGAAUACCGGUGGCGAAGGCGGCCCCCUGGACAAAGACUGACGCUCAGGUGCGAAAGCGUGGGGAGCAAACAGGAUUAGAUACCCCUGUAGUC